rnacentral:rRNA from 1 species
UGCGAGUCGAGAGGGUUCAGACCCUCGGCGGACUGCUCAGUAACACGUGGAUAACCUGCCCUAAGGUGGAGCAUAACCCCGGGAAACUGGGGAUAAUACUCCAUAGAUUAGAGACACUGGAAUGUUCUUUAGUCGAAAGUUCUGGCGCCUUAGGAUGGAUCUGCGGUCGAUUAGGUUGUUGUUGGGGUAACGGCCCAACAAGCCUGUAAUCGAUACGGGUUGUGGGAGCAAGAGCCCGGAGAUGGAAUCUGAGACACGAUUCCAGGCCCUACGGGGCGCAGCAGGCGCGAAAACUUUACAAUGCAGGAAACUGUGAUAAGGGAACUCCGAGUGCCCGUAUACGCGGGCUGUCCAGGUGUUUAAAAAUCAUCUGAAGAAAGGGCCGGGCAAGACCGGUGCCAGCCGCCGCGGUAAUACCGGCGGCUCGAGUGGUGGCCACUAUUAUUGGGCUUAAAGCGUCCGUAGCUGGACCGAUAAGUCUCUUGGGAAAUCCGCCGGCUCAACCGGCGGGCGUCUAAGGGAUACUGUUAGUCUGGGGACCGGGAGAGGUGAGAGGUACUCCGGGGGUAGGAGUGAAAUCCUGUAAUCCCCGGGGGACCACCGAUGGCGAA